ensembl:lncRNA
UUAUGGUUUCACUUUGACGCAACACAAUAGCCACACAGACACUUCGACGCAGUCGUGAACCUAAUUUGGUUCUGCGUUGGGUUUUAGUUAGCAGACCAAUCACAGCCCUCGCUGCUGCGUUGCCUCAACGCAAGGUUAUCAUUUUUUGGGAGGCGCACGUCAGGCCCUUGCGGUGGACGGAAGGAGGGUCGACGUGGAACCAUAACUAAGCCUUAAUUGUGUUUAACGCUUGUACCGAGCAGCUGAAAGCCACGGAGUCAGGCGUGACUGUAACGCUCUGACGUCAGGUCUGCAGGAAGUCACAACAUGGCUCUCCCCAUGAAAGCACCUUCAACCAAGGGUGAAUCCACGGGCUCCUUGGCUCUUUAUUUUAAGCGCCUCCAGUGUCUUCACGCCGUCACGCUAAUAGCCCCCAGGAGAUAGUCUUACGUGUUCCCCUGAAGACGGCGUUUCCACAUUGGCACAUUGUUGCACCACAUUGUUUUCACUUGAAAUUUACGAGGGGCUGGGUGUAUCUUUAGUCGCUCAAACAUCUCGGCAUGAGAAGCUAUUUUGACGGCCUCGCCAGCAGCGGUGACGUGCAGCACGACAGCAACCCCUGUCGGUAGGACGAUGUACUGCAUCAUACCUAAGCGUCUGUACGUUCCUAAGUCAUAAUGUGACCACCUCUGUCCGACCUCUUUGUUGACCUCUGUUCUCCGCCCUGUAUGUCCGUGCAACCGUACUUGUACAAAACUCUCUUCUGCUUUGACUCAUCUCUGCCAUUUUCUUGUAUUUUUCUCAGCCCUGUCACUUCAGCUUUCAUCCUCUUUGGAGCUUCUACUCUUCUUCUUUCCUUCCCCCUCACAUGUGACCAGGAGGCCACACCAGGUCCCAUCGGCAACAAGCGUGGCCAAUGGGAAGCCAAGAAGGUCACCACUCCUGGAAAGGUGACAUUCGGGGGCAAGGGCAAGUUUGUCACAAAUGCAGGCAUGAGACCCUAACCAGAGAACCCCCCCCUCAACAACCACCCACCCCCCCACCUGACCCCAGCCAGCAGGCCGUCAGGUGCAGUGAUCACCUGGACACCAUCAGCGAGGCCCAAACUUCACACCCACCUCUGAAGAUAAUAAAGGACCUCAUUAAUUGAUCCUUAAUUAAACCACAGAUAAACCACAUCUAAAAUAUAUUUUUUGUAAAUAUAUAGGGGGCUUGAUAGAGGAUAGAUACCAAACAGGCUUUUUUACACUCCUAUACCCUUAGACAUGAACCCAAUCUGUGAUUAGCUUCACACCCUAACAUGGCUUCUAACAUGGUUUCAACAAGGUGGUCAUCGAUGUCAAUUCACACACAUGCACUUUCACACCGCCUAGCUGUUUGAUUCCCAGACCAUGCCUGAUGAGACACCAAGCCGUGCACGUCAUAUCCAGCCAUCAUACACUAUCGGUGCUUAAAUCUGACCACUGGCACAUUUAUAAUCGGUAUAUAAUAUAUACUCUCCAGACACAAUCAGAGAGCAUGACAGUCAUACACAGUUGUUAUAUAAAUAAAAUGUAUUAUUAUUAUUAUUAUUAAUAUUGGGAUUAUUAUGAGUUUGAUAUGCGGAAUACAGGAAGGCAGCCAGAUCACUACAGACCGCAUCAUACAGGAAGUUGCGGUCCAACAAUCAUGGUUUAAUGUUGCUGCACGCAAAGUCACUAGCAAUAAUAUGUGUGCGGUUGCCCAAUCACAAGAACACCUUUUAAGAAAUAGUAGGUGAAGUAAAUAUACAGUUUUAUUUGAUAAAAAAAAAGGCCUAUUUCAAUCUGUUUGAUCACAAGGUGAAUUAAAUAUUUGCCUGUGAACGGAAAUGAAAGCCUAUAUGUUUUUGAGAGAUACAAUGUUCAAUCUAUUCUGGGCCAUCCAGGGUCAAGGAUUUGGGCUCCUGUUUGUUUCAAACCUGCCCCGGUUUAUCAGAAGUCCUUCAGGCCUGUUGGAUUCUGACUUGUUUUGUUUGAAUGUGCAAACUUGUACUUGCUUUAGCAAUAAAAUGAGAAAAACAACAAGG